rnacentral:rRNA from 1 species
AGGACGAACGCUGGCGGCGUGCCUAACACAUGCAAGUCGAGCGAGGAGAUCCUUCGGGAUGAUCCUAGCGGCGGACGGGUGAGUAACACGUGGGCAACCUGCCUCAUAGAGAGGAAUAGCCUUCCGAAAGGGAGAUUAAUACCUCAUAACAUUGCAGUUUCGCAUGGAACAGCAAUUAAAGGAGUAAUCCGCUAUGAGAUGGGCCCGCGGCGCAUUAGCUAGUUGGUGAGGUAAUGGCUCACCAAGGCGACGAUGCGUAGCCGACCUGAGAGGGUGAUCGGCCACAUUGGGACUGAGACACGGCCCAGACUCCUACGGGAGGCAGCAGUGGGGAAUAUUGCACAAUGGGGGAAACCCUGAUGCCAGCAACGCCGCGUGAGUGAUGACGGCCUUCGGGUUGUAAAGCUCUGUCUUCAGGGACGAUAAUGACGGUACCUGAGGAGGAAGCCACGGCUAACUACGUGCCAGCCGCGGC